CGGGACGUAGGAUAGUGGCUAAUCCGCAUGGUUCGGGACCAUGAGAUCGGCGGUUCAAAUCCGCCCGUCCCGA
rnacentral:tRNA from 1 species